GUAAUAAAUUUAUGUAUGUAUUUGUUUUAUGCUCAAAAGGGCCCUGAUUAUAAACAGAUAUCAUAUUCAUAGAUUAUAAAAGAAACAUUUAAUACUACAGGUGAAGCAAGCUAUGAACUAGACAGUGUAUUCAGCUUUCUCUGCUGAAAUAAUGUGACCAAAUCAAGUGUUACCUGGAAAGAGGAAUGUCAAGGGUGCUUUUUAUAUUAACUCCAAAAUAGCCAUUGGAAAGUUCAAGCCAGAUCUGCGACAGCAAACUGAACAUAAAGUGGCAUACUUGUGUGUCAGGAAACGAGGAACAGUAUGGCUGUACUGAGAAUCUAACCGGGGAUCCCUGCAUCACUACUUACAAAUCCCAUGGAAAUAUAGGAUCCUUGGCUAAUCAAGUGUCAUCUGCAGUGUUACAAAAG